rnacentral:ncRNA from 2 species
UGACACGCCGCAAACGCGAGUUAUAGCAUUGCGCAUUCCUGGGGGCGAAGCCGGCAAUCCGGCACGGUCGCGCCACUGUGACCGGUUCGCGGCGAUUAACUGCGAACCGGAAGUCAGACCGCUCGCGGGAGCCACGUUCU